ensembl:processed_transcript
CCAAGCACAGACAGCACGCUUAAGCACAGAAGACUGCAUAAAUGCUGGAGACUGUUUUACCCAAAUCACAUAUAUAUGGCUGCCGUUGGAAGGUACAUUAUCAAGAGUUUUAUUUUUGCAACUAAAGACUACUAUACAACAUCAGAAUAUCUGCGUUUGUGAAGACAUCAAGACCCUUAAACCUCUGGAAACGGCAUUACCAAGAAGGCAUUUAUUCAGAACUAUGGCUACAAGUCACAAUGAUGCUUGCUGUGCAACCAAAGAUUUUGCAAUGGAACAGUUAAGAAACCAUUUUAGGGUAUAUCAGCCAGAAUUCCAGUCACAUCAGCUGGAAUGACCGCCUGUCAGAAGCAUGCAAAGAGGUCUUGGUGGACUUUCCAACGUGGUCACUCCAGUGACCUUUCAGAAAUUGCUGCAUAGGUUUCUGAGCGCUCAUAGGCUAAAGAAUGGCCACAUUGGAAUUGCACCGUGGGCUGGAGCCUGGGACUUGCGUGUGGGGUGGAGAGAGAGCUGACCUGCCUGACAAUUUUGACUCAGAGAUGCAGGAAUGGGAAGA